UUUCAGACAGAGUUUCACUCGGUUGCCCAGGCUGGAGUGUAAUAGCAUGAUCACAGCACAUUGCUUAAGCACAUAGCAACAGGAUCAAGCAAUCCUCCUGCGUCAGCCUCCCGAGUAGCCGGGACCACAGGUGUACAGCGUAUCCCAAUUUUCAGCCGGCCAUUGAGGAAACGGCUCAGUCUCUAGCCGCCCUCCAACGACAAAUCACAUCUCUAGCUGGUGUCACCCUUCAAAACUGCCAUGCCAUCGACCUACUCACAGCCGAAAAAGGUGGUACUUGCAUCUUCUUACAGGAGAACUGUUGUUAUUACAUUAAUGAGUCCCAAGUAAUCGAAACUAGCAUUAAAACCUACAUCAGAUAAAAGGUAAACUAAUGAAUGCUAGCACUACUCCCUCCCUUUGGGAAACCCUUAAAACCCCCCUCUUAGCUUGGCUCCUUCCCUUUUUAGGCCCCCAGCGGGUAUCCUCACUUUCUGCACACUACUCCCCUGCCUCAUUAAGUUUCUCUUCCAUAUCUAACCAAACAUUUAACCAGCUUCUCCUCAGAAACUACCAACUUUUAGCCACCAGCAAGGACGGGACAGAUUCCACAGACGGGCUCACAACCUGCUAACCCAAGCCGGUCAUGACAACCGCCAACCGAUUCCACAAACUUCUCAACGAUCUCCGCGCCUUCAGCUGGCUCAUCGCCAAUCCCUCGCUACCCUUCGAAUGGAUCACAAUGUUAGAGGAACCUUCACGGACUUCACACCCCAAGAGGUGUUUACAUACGCCGCCAUCCUACUCAGGCUUAUUCUACUGAUAGAUGCCCCUAACAGUGCUCCCUUUACCUCCCCUCAACGCCCCCACUCAGCAGGAAGUAGCCAGAUGAGACACGACGCCGCUCUACCCACCUCUAAGAGAAACAAAAGGGAGGAAUGUUAGGUGACGCAAGACGCCAAAAGAUGGCGCUGGUUCCGGGUUCUUCUUCACUCAGCACGAUGUCGGCCCGCCAAAUGAGACCCAAUAAAAGAAGGCACCUCCUACUCCUCCCUUCAGGCCCGCCCCCCUUCCAAUCAUCAGUGCCCAUGUAGCCCUGGGGGCUAUAAAUUACUCCACCCAACAGCUCUCUCUCUCUCUCUCUCUCUCUCCCUCUCUCCUGUGCCACCUGACCUCAACCUCUCCAAUAAAGAUCUCUUGGCCGUA